rnacentral:ncRNA from 1 species
AAGAUAGAGGUGCGGAAAACAAUAGUAAUUUGCGGAGCGGCAGUGAGGAGGCAAAUGAAAGGGUUACCGCCGAAGUAUAGUGGUAGGCAUAUCACUAUGCUGGUUCGUGGGAGAAGAUUUUACGAACUGUCGCUACUGAUGAUGUGGUCAGCAGCGGAGCGCUAUCU